UACGAAGGGGCUAGCGUUGUUCGGAAUCACUGGGCGUAAAGCGCACGUAGGCGGAUCUUUAAGUCAGGGUGAAUCCUGGAGCUCAACUCCAGAACUGCCUUGAUACUGGCGAUCUUGAGUCCGGGAGAGGUGAGUGGAACUGCGAGUGUAGAGGUGAAAUUCGUAGAUAUUCGCAAGAACACCAGUGGCGAAGGCGGCUCACUGGCCCGAUACUGACGCUGAGGUGCGAAAGCGUGGGAGCAACAGG
rnacentral:rRNA from 1 species